CAAUAGUGUAUCUUAAUGUUGUUGCAGUUAAAAAGCUCGUAGUUGAAUUUCUGGCACUCCGGCUGCCCUCGGGCGUGCAUGGGGAUGUCAUCCGCGUUGAGCCGUAUGCGUAUUAUACCAUGCGGGGAAGGCGCAUUUUACUUUGAAGAAAUUAGAGUGUUCCAGGCAGGCUAUGCUUGAAUAUUACAGCAUGGAAUAAUGGAAUAGGACUUGUCCUUUUCGUUGGUUAAAUGGAUAAGUAAUGAUUAACAGGGACAGUUGGGGGCAUUCGUAUUGGGCAGUCAGAGGUGAAAUUCUUUAAUUUGCUCAAGACGCACUAAUGCGAAAGCAUUUGCCAAGGAUGUUUNCAUUA
rnacentral:rRNA from 1 species